AGAAUCAACGCUGGCGGCGUGCCUAACACAUGCAAGUCGCACGAGAAAGGGGAGCAAUCCCUGAGUACAGUGGCGCACGGGUGAGUAACACGUGAAUUAUCUACCUCCGAGUGGGGAAUAACUGAGAGAAAUCUUAGCUAAUACCGCAUAACACUUACGAGUCAAAGCAGCAAUGCGCUUGGAGAGGAGUUCGCGGCCGAUUAGUUAGUUGGCGGGGUAAUGGCCCACCAAGACGAUGAUCGGUAUCCGGCCUGAGAGGGCGCACGGACACACUGGAACUGAAACACGGUCCAGACUCCUACGGGAGGCAGCAGUGGGGAAUUUUGGCGCAAUGGGGGAAACCCUGACGCAGCAACGCCGCGUGGAGGAUGAAGCCCCUUGGGGUGUAAACUCCUUUCGAUCGGGAAGAUAAUGACGGUACCGAUAUAAGAAGCCCCGGCUAACUUCGUGCCAGCAGCCGC
rnacentral:rRNA from 1 species